AAUCCAACUUAUGCCUAUUUGAAAUACAAGAGAAUUACAACCAGUAUGCGUUGGAUCCCUUGGCACGUCAUUCGAUGAAGACCGUUGCAAAAUGCGAUAAGUGGUGUGAUAUGCAAGUCCAAAACUUAUACGUGAACCAUCGAAUCGUUGAACGCACUGCAUCGAGCCUUACCCAGGAACGAUACGCCCCAUUGAGCGUCAUUAUGUCUUCGUGACUGUCAUUUAUUUGGCCUGUCCGGGUUCGGGAUUCACAGCUUUGAUUAGCUGCGCUUCCUUAGAUACAUGGAUGCACUACAGCUGAAGGUGUCCUUGUCAUAAAUGUCGAGGUUUUCCAAAAGCUUAGAUGCAAGAUUGCUCUUGUGCAGAGUAAUCAAAUGCGACCACUUCAUUGCGGAAGCAGCUUCUAAACAUGACCUCACGGGGGUGGGAUGACCCGCUAGACUUAAGCAUAUUAAUCAGCGGAGGAAAAGAAACUAACAAGGAU
rnacentral:rRNA from 1 species